CUGACCAAUGAUGAGCAUUCUGGGCUGUCUGAAUCAAUGAUUUUGAUUGACUCUGUCUCUCCGAGGUCCAU
ensembl:snoRNA Gm24564 small nucleolar RNA SNORD113/SNORD114 family